rnacentral:rRNA from 1 species
GGAGGUAGUGACAAUAAAUCACAAUGCGGGACUAUACGUCUUGCAAUUGGAUUGAGAACAAUGUACAACUCUUAUCGAUAAGCCAUUGGAGGGCAAGUCUGGUGCCAGCAGCCGCGGUAAUUCCAGCUCCAAUAGCGUAUAUUAACGUUGUUGCAGUUAAAAAGCUCGUAGUUGAAGUGUGGGUGAUCGCUGUUGUGAGACUUCGGUCUCUCGAUAGUAAGUCACCCCCUUCCAGUAUCCAGUAGUGGGUAUUCAGUUACUUACUAUUGUGUGUUGGUCGUUUACUGUGAGAAAAUUAGAGUGUUCAAAGCAGGCGUUUGCUUGAAUAGAUUAGCAUGGAAUAAUAAUUGAAGGCUUUCGUGUUCGAUUUGAUUGGUUUGUUCAUGGAAGCAAGGUUAAAAGGAACAGUUGGGGGUAUUCAUAUUCACUAGUUAGAGGUGAAAUUCUCGGAUUUAUGGAAGAUGAACAAGUGCGAAAGCA